rnacentral:rRNA from 1 species
UACGGAGGGAGCUAGCGUUGUUCGGAAUUACUGGGCGUAAAGCGCGCGUAGGCGGCUUUGUAAGUCAGAGGUGAAAUCCCGGAGCUCAACUCCGGAACUGCCUUUAAGACUGCAUCGCUUGAACGUCGGAGAGGUGAGUGGAAUUCCGAGUGUAGAGGUGAAAUUCGUAGAUAUUCGGAAGAACACCAGUGGCGAAGGCGGCUCACUGGACGACUGUUGACGCUGAGGUGCGAAAGCGUGGGGAGCAAACAGG